GUUUGAUCCUGGCUCAGGAUGAACGCUAGCGGCAGGCCUAACACAUGCAAGUCGAGGGGUAACAGAGAAGCUUGCUUCUGCUGACGACCGGCGCACGGGUGCGUAACGCGUAUGCAACCUACCUCAUACUGGAGAAUAGCCCUUGGAAACGAGGAUUAAUACUCCAUGGUAUCAUUCUUUCGCAUGUUAGAAUGAUUAAAGAAUUUCGGUAUGAGAUGGGCAUGCGUCCCAUUAGCUAGUUGGUGAGGUAACGGCUCACCAAGGCGACGAUGGGUAGGGGGCCUGAGAGGGUGGUCCCCCACACUGGUACUGAGACACGGACCAGACUCCUACGGGAGGCAGCAGUGAGGAAUAUUGGUCAAUGGAGGCAACUCUGAACCAGCCAUGCCGCGUGAAGGAUGACGGCCCUAUGGGUUGUAAACUUCUUUUAUAUGGGAAGAAACUUAUCUACGUGUAGAUAACUGACGGUACCAUACGAAUAAGGAUCGGCUAACUCCGUGCCAGCAGCCGCGGUAAUACGGAGGAUCCAGGCGUUAUCCGGAUUCAUUGGGUUUAAAGGGUCCGUAGGCGGAUUUUUAAGUCAGUGGUGAAAGCCGGCAGCUCAACUGUCGAACUGCCAUUGAUACUGGAAAUCUUGAGUACAAAUGAAGUAGGCGGAAUGAGUCAUGUAGCGGUGAAAUGCAUAGAUAUGACUCAGAACACCGAUUGCGAAGGCAGCUUACUAACAUGUAACUGACGCUGAGGGACGAAAGCGUGGGGAGCGAACAGGAUUAGAUACCCUGGUAGUCCACGCCGUAAACGAUCAUCACUCGCUGUUGGCGAUAUACUGUCAGCGGCCAAGCGAAAGUAUUAAGUGAUGCACCUGGGGAGUACGCCGGCAACGGUGAAACUCAAAGGAAUUGACGGGGGCCCGCACAAGCGGUGGAGCAUGUGGUUUAAUUCGAUGAUACGCGAGGAACCUUACCAGGGCUUAAAUGUAGUAUGACCGGUCUGGAAACAGACCUUCCCUUCGGGGCAGAUUACAAGGUGCUGCAUGGUUGUCUUCAGGCCCCAACCCGG
rnacentral:rRNA from 1 species